AACGCUGGCGGCAGGCUUAACACAUGCAAGUCGAGCGGGCACUUCGGUGUCAGCGGCAGACGGGUGAGUAACACGUGGGAACGUACCCUUUGGUUCGGAACAACUCAGGGAAACUUGAGCUAAUACCGGAUAAGCCCUUCGGGGGAAAGAUUUAUCGCCAAAGGAUCGGCCCGCGUCUGAUUAGCUAGUUGGUGAGGUAAUGGCUCACCAAGGCGACGAUCAGUAGCUGGUCUGAGAGGAUGAUCAGCCACACUGGGACUGAGACACGGCCCAGACUCCUACGGGAGGCAGCAGUGGGGAAUAUUGGACAAUGGGCGAAAGCCUGAUCCAGCCAUGCCGCGUGAGUGAUGAAGGCCUUAGGGUUGUAAAGCUCUUUUACCCGGGAAGAUAAUGACGGUACCGGGAGAAUAAGCCCCGGCUAACUUCGUGCCAGCAGCCGCGGUAAUACGAAGGGGGCUAGCGUUGUUCGGAAUCACUGGGCGUAAAGCGCACGUAGGCGGACAUU
rnacentral:rRNA from 1 species